UGGAGGGGUGAGGGACGAGGAGCCGUCGCCUCGGAGGAAGCGGGUUGAGGCGCCGCUGCGGACUCGGAGCGGCGGUUUGAGCUUACGAGCGGCCCCUCCGGCGGCGCAAGCAGCCUUUGCUCGUCCCCCUCCCUUCCCUUCCUUCCGUCCUUCCCCCCGUCGCCUCGCUGCCGCCGUUGCCCUGGGGCCGGGCGGGCGACCGGGAGACCGCGGCGCUUGGAUGCCUGGAGCUCGCGACAGAGACCUAGCCCCGAGCCCGCCAUGGGCUGCUGCGGGAGCGCCGCCUCGCAGAGUUCCAAACGAGAGUGGAAGCCUCUGGAGGAUCGCAGCUGCACAGAUAUCCCAUGGCUUUUGCUGUUCAUUCUAUUUUGCAUUGGCAUGGGUUUUAUUUGUGGCUUUUCAAUAGCUACUGGAGCAGCUGCAAGAUUGGUUUCAGGAUAUGAUAGUUACGGAAAUAUCUGUGGACAGAAGAAUGUAAAAAUAGAGGGAAUAGACAACAGUGGCCUAGAUCUUACAGAAAAAAAGUUUGUGUUUUUUCUGGAGCCAUGCAAUGUAGAUUUAGUACGUCGGAAGAUCAAGUCCAUUGCUCUCUGUGUAUCAGCAUGCCCACGUAGUGAGUUGAAAACUCUGGCUGAUGUUCAGAAAUUUGCAGAUAUUAAUGGUUCUGCUUUAUGUAGUUAUGAGUUAAAGCCAUCUGAAUACACUACACAUGUAAAUGCUGCUAAGCUUUGCCCCAAGCUCCCAGUUCCAGAGAGUGCACCUAUUCCAUUCUUCCAUCGCUGUGCUCCUGUGAACAUUUCCUGCUAUACCAAGUUUGCAGAAGCCCUGAUCACCUUUGUCAGUGACAGUAGUAUCUUGCACAGGCUGAUUAGUGGAGUAAUGACCUGCAAAGAGAUUAUAUUGGGACUUUGCUUGUUAUCACUAGUGCUUUCCAUGAUUUUGAUGGUGAUAAUCAGAUAUAUUUCAAGAGUACUUGUCUGGAUCUUAACAAUUGUUGUUGUUUUGGGCUCACUUGGUGGCACAGGGGUAUUGUGGUGGCUGUAUGUUAAAAUGUGGAAGUCUCCCAAUGGCACUCUUACUGUUGAACAGCUUCAAAUAGCCAAAGACAAUCGUCAGGCCCUCCUGAUUUAUGCCAUUGCAGCUACCAUCUUCACAGUUAUCUUACUAUUAAUAAUGCUUGUUAUGCGUAAAAGAGUAGCUCUCACCAUUGCCUUGUUCCACGUGGCUGGCAAGGUUUUCAUUCACCUGCCACUGCUUGUCUUCCAGCCAUUUUGGACUUUUUUUGCCCUCACCCUCUUCUGGAUAUAUUGGAUUAUGGUCUUGCUGUUCCUAGGUAUUACUGGUAGCCCGGUUUCAAAUGAAGAGGGCUUAGUAGAGUUCCGAAUUACAGGGCCACUGAAGUACAUGUGGUGGUACCAUGUGGUGGGGUUAGUUUGGAUCAGUGAAUUUAUUCUUGCCUGUCAGCAGAUGACUGUAGCAGGAGCUGUUGUGACAUAUUAUUUUACAAGAGAAAAACGGCAUCUGCCAUUCACACCAAUUCUGGCAUCUGUCAAUCGCUUGAUUUGUUACCACCUCGGAACUGUGGCUAAAGGUUCUUUCAUUAUUACCUUAGUGAAGAUUCCAAGAAUGAUUCUCAUGUAUAUUCAUAGCCAAGUCAAAGGAAAAGAAAAUGUCUGUGCUCGAUGUAUUCUAAAAGCCUGCAUUUGCUGCCUUUGGUGUUUAGAAAAGUGCCUGACUUACUUAAAUCAGAAUGCAUAUACAGCCACAGCUAUCAACAGUACCAAUUUCUGCACUUCAGCAAAGGAUGCCUUUGUGAUACUAGUGGAGAAUGCUUUGCGGGUGGCUGCUAUAAACACAGUGGGAGACUUCAUGCUCUUUCUUGGAAAGGUCUUAAUAGUGUGCAGCACAGGCUUGGCAGGGAUCAUGCUGCUGAAUUACCAGCGGGACUACACAGUGUGGGUGCUGCCCCUUAUCAUUGUCUGCCUAUUUGCAUUCCUAGUUGCCCACUGUUUCCUGUCUAUUUAUGAAAUGGUAGUGGAUGUCCUUUUCUUGUGCUUUGCCAUUGACACCAAGUAUAAUGAUGGCAGUCCUGGAAAGGAGUUCUACAUGGAUAAAGUCCUUAUGGCCCUCCUUUUACCCACCUUAGAAGGAUGGAAGACUGCGUCAACCUUGAGCCUAGUGAGAUUUGAACUGCCAAAUUGCAGUCAGCCGGCAGUCAGCAGAAGUAGCCGGCAGUACUGCACUCUAACCACUGCACCACCGUGGCUCAAUGUGCAUCUCCUCCUGUUUUCUUCUACAAACAACGUUAUGAGGAAUUUGUGGAGAACAGCAGAAAAGCAUUGAAAGAAGCUGGCCGGGGAAAUGGAGGUGAAGGCAAGGAGCUCAAACCAAUGGUCUCUGGAGCAAGUUCAUCUUGAAGCUGGUCAGCCGAUAUGGAAACCAUUGACAUUCCAAAACAAUAUCUAUUUCUCUCUUUCUCUUUCUCUAGCUAUCUCUCUUCUAUAUAUAUCUAUAUCUAUAUUAUUUAAAAAGCAGCCAAAAUCAGAGAAAAGGAACAGGGAUUUAAUACUUUUUUAAUGAUUAUUUUUGUGAAACAUGUACUCUUUUCAUACGGGUGGCUUUUACAAGCAACUUUUAUCAUUGUUCCAUUUUUAAAAAAUCAUUGUGAUUCAUGGUGAUGUUAUGAUUGUAAUCCGAUAGAGAUUUCAAAAUUUGGAGGAGAAUUCCACAAUAUUUAAAAAUAAUAAAGUUUUUCAGAUUUGGAAUAAAAUAUGUAGGUCAAAUAAGUUCCCCACAUUUUUAUUUUUAAUUAACAUAACAGUUUAGAAUUCAGAUGGUUCUGGGAGGAAAACAUCCUUUGUUAGAAUUUUUUAAUUAAUUGGAAUCAGAAUGGAUAAUAUAUUAAUCAUGUUGGAUUUUGUUGCUUCUUUGUAAUGGGAUACCAAUAGGAUCAAAUAAGUUUAGUAUAUUCAGUUUUUUUGUAUUAUAUAAUUUAAGACAUUAAAAAAAACACACAACCCAACUCCUCAGGUAUUAAGAUAUUGAGACAGCCCCUGAAUCUGUGAAGGACAAACUAAAGAUGUAUGAGGAAGAAUGAGUUUAAUAUGCAACUUCCGUCCUGUGUUAUCUUAUUUUUGCCUGUUAGGUUUAAUCUUGUCCUUUGCACAUUGUUUUUUCUUUGAACUAAGCAGAUUCUUCACUUAAACAAUUUAAUAACAACAUUCUGAUGCUCAGCCUUAUAUAUGCUCCAUUGUUGUUCAUUCAUAACAAUAUGGAAAGAUUUUAAGAAUAGAGACAAACUGUACUACUAUACAAAAAAUAAGUACUGUAAGUUGCUUGUGGUUUUUGUUUUGUUUUGUUUUGUUUUGUUACUGUUGACCCCAUAUCUGGGACAUAUUUCAUUAUACAUUAUACAUAAUUCAGUGGAGUAUAGUAGGAAAGAGCACAUAAACAUCUUUUUGAAAUGUCACUGUCUUAGUAUAUAAUGUAGGUCUUAAAGCAGUCUCUGUAUAUUCAUGAUCACGGGACCUGAGAGCCACAUGAAUACUUCAGAAGCUUCCAGAAAGCAAUAUUUCUCUCCCAUUUCAUCUUCAUUUUUAGAAUAAUUUUCUGUAAUUGUUUUAGUAACAUGCUGCGUACUGAGACUCUUGUGCUUCUAAAAGUGUAUGCCUCUUGUAGUGGGAUGUGGAGAAUAUCAGAACUCUUGGGUAUGUGGAAAGUAAUUAAUUUGCCAAACUAAGAUUUGUUUGGAUGGUAGUAACAUUACUAAGUUUAUUUGGGAUCUUUUCAGUCUUUGGUACCAAGAAUAUAAAUAAGAACUCUUACAUUGAAUCUUGAUCUUAAAUUGAUAUUGUUGGCCUUUUUAAUCUCUUCUUUUUCUGAUAACAUAGUUUCUUAAACUUGAGAUGGAAAGUUCAUCCAUUCAUUCAGAUGAUAAAUGGACAGUAAUCUAUUCAAAUGAUAUUUAAUGACAAAUUUAUAUGAGAAAAUACUAUUGGGGAUGUUUCUCUUUAAAGAAAUAUAUCAACAAAUUUUUUUCUCUGUGCUUAAUUGCCAAAUGUUAUUUCAUUUGUCUUAGUAAGUUACCAAUCUUUUCUCCUGAGAAAUGGGUAUCUUUUUUUCUUUUGCAUUCCCUGCUUUCACUCAGUCUAACCAAUGCCUCUUACAGUAUCCUCUAUCCCCUUCCCAGCUUCAUAAAAUAAUGGUCUGAUAGCUCUACUUGUAUCCUAAUAGAUUGUUUUAUUCUUCUAUCAGCCCUUAUCUCUACCCCUGCCCCAAACUGUAGUAAAUGUUAUCUUGGAAUUUCACUAGAAGAAAAUAGAAAAGGAAGCACAGAUAGGAGAAUGCUGUACUUUAAACCCAUUUGCCUUUCUGCACAACUCUCAUUCAACAUCCAUGAUAGUUCUUUGCUAUCAUGUACAAUUUCUCUCCUAUUUGACUGGAAACACAUGGAAGUAUCACUACGUUUUUUGAUAUAAAGAUGUUUAGGACCCUCAGGAUACUUUCAUGUUAAGCAUGCAUUCUGGAAAGCACAUCUUGGUUUUCCUUUGAUCAUGUUGGAAUAGAACUAUGGAAUAGUUUAACCAUAAACUAUGGUUUAUGGAAUAGAACUAUGAGAAGUCAUUUGGUACCAUGUCAGAUAUUUGAAUGAUUGAUCUAUAAUGGAAAUUGAUUUUUGAAACAUUCUUGAGAGGAGAUCAUCUUCAUACCCUAAUUUCAUAAAAGUUUGUCUUCUAAUAGUUGGGAUCAUUUUCUUCCUUUUUAUCAAUAGUCUUUCACUUUCAGGAUAUUGCUUACUUCCGAUAUUUUCUGAAGGCUUGAUCCAUGUCCCUCAUUCAUUAGACAGUUGACUCUUAUUCUAGAUCAGCUUUCUAGGGAUGCUCUUAAGAUACAGUAUAGUCCUUGAGAUAAUCAACUCUUAUGUUAGUCAAGUUAUAACUUUGUAAGUAAUUUAGGAAGCAAUUGAGAAAACUGGCUGCUUCUUUUGCAUGGGGUUCAUAACCAGGAGACAAACUAGUAAGAUUGUUCCUGAUCAUCUCACCAAAAAUCAUAAUACACCCAAAGCUAGCAUGAUUGGGCCAGAACAACUAUUUUAGAUCUUUAGGGUGCAGGAUAAUAUUGUUAUGGGGAAACAUCCUGUAGUUUGAAGUAUUAACCAGAAACGUGUUUCUGCUUCUGGUUUUUGUAUUAGAUCAAGCCAAAAGCAUGAUUGGUAAACCUUGCUUUCCAGAAGGUUCCAGAGUUUGACAAGGCUCCUUCCCUAUUAAUAUGAAUAGCCAGAGACCUCUGGAAGAACUUCAUUGCCUGUUGGUAGCUUUCAUUUAUCAAGUAAUCAGUUUUGUGUGUUAAAUUCCUUUCUUCAUUCUGAAAUUUACUAUGUAAUGAAUGCUAAUAUUUCUCUGUUUGGCUUGAUGUAACGAUAAAUGCUUAUAGUGUAAUUGCAGAGAAUAAUUUCAUGAUCUGUUUUAUGCUAUAUAUUCUUUUGUUACAAUUUUUUAAAGAAACUAUUUUUGUUAAUAUAAAAGUAAAUAUUUCAGAGUAAAAUUUUUAAACUUUAUUGCACUAAAUGCAGAUAUGGAGAGAAAAAAAAGGAAUGCCUCAGUAGUUGAAUCACUCCAGAAAAUCUUUUGGGAGAAGAGCUACUGCUCUAGGUAAGCUUAGCUAACAGUUAUGAAAAUAGGUGUAGACACAAGGUGACUGGCUACCAGUGUUUUUAUAUAUGGCUGUUUUGAUUCUGUGCUUCCUUUCAAAGGAUGAGACCUUUUCAAACUGCUGCUGAAUGAAACAUAGCAUUCUGUAAUUAACUGGUGGUCUUUGCUGUGUAACUAAAUGCUUCAGUUAAUUUUUAUAAAUCAUAUAACAUCUCAAUCUUUUCAGGCUACUUGCAAUAAAAUUCAGGACAGUUUAAAAGAAGAAGAAUCUUUUCUCAGUCAGUCACAUAAUCCAAUUAUGAAACUAUAAAUUUAGCAAACUAGAUUAGCCUCUGUUCCUGCUAACAUGCUGAUUUUACCUAUGUGAAUUAUGCCAUGAAAUUUCAUUUUAAGGUAGCUGACACAAAUCAAGGUUUGAAAUGCACGUCUUAGCAGGAACCAAGGUAUUAGUCUAGGCUUAAUCUAGAGCACUGC